AUGAAAAGUAUCAUUGCCGCCAUAGUGUGGAACUUCGAUUUUGAGAUGGUGGGAGGGUACGUUGUAGAGCCAAAGCCAUCAGUUGUGCUCAAGAUGAAGAAUGGGUUGUGUGCCAAGAUCCUCAAACGGCGGAUCAAAUGA
rnacentral:rRNA from 1 species